rnacentral:rRNA from 1 species
AGGGAACGCUGGCGGCAGGCCUAACACAUGCAAGUCGAACGAACCUUUCGGGGUUAGUGGCGGACGGGUGAGUAACACGUGGGAACGUGCCUUUAGGUUCGGAAUAACUCAGGGAAACUUGUGCUAAUACCGAAUGUGCCCUUCGGGGGAAAGAUUUAUCGCCUUUAGAGCGGCCCGCGUCUGAUUAGCUAGUUGGUUGAGGUAAUGGCUCACCAAGGCGACGAUCAGUAGCUGGUCUGAGAGGAUGAUCAGCCACAUUGGGACUGAGACACGGCCCAAACUCCUACGGGAGGCAGCAGUGGGGAAUCUUGCGCAAUGGGCGAAAGCCUGACGCAGCCAUGCCGCGUGAAUGAUGAAGGUCUUAGGAUUGUAAAAUUCUUUCACCGGGGACGAUAAUGACGGUACCCGGAGAAGAAGCCCCGGCUAACUUCGU